AAUUGCUUCGGCCAGUGUCUUUGUCCCUGCAGUAAGUUCCAGCCGCCCCCCCACCUUUACUGGAGACCGUCUAAUACCAGCCGAUGGGAAAAAGAAGACCAGAAAAGAGUGAGCAGCCUGCCCAAGGUCACACACAACCAAACUCGGUAACACUGAAAGCAAUGUAGAGACUGGAUAAAAGAGGGAAGACCGUCCAUCAUUUUGUUAGCAUCAUCAAGCC